GUGUGAGCUCUGGGCACUGGCUGGCUGCCACCCCAGUUAUUUCCCUGUGUCUCCAGCCAGGUUGGGUAUUUGUUUGCCACUGCGACAAAUUAGUACGAUUACGGUAGUAGCAGUGGCCAUGCUUUUGGAUUCACUCGCCUGUGCACUGGAUCCCUGUAGGUCUGUAAAGGACUGCUGGCCACAAAUUGCUCUAAGGUCACCGCUGACAGGUUGUUAACAUUCUAUGUGACUAGAGAUGGCCUGAACAUCGGGUGGCGGCCGACAUACGAGGCUGUUCUGUUUCUGGUUUCAUUUCAUGUUGUCUUGCCUCCCUUCACGCUGGUUCUGUGGUUCCGUCGAUGAGGCUGGUUUGGGUGGCUCCAGUUUCUCCCUGUUGGGCCCUGCUGUUCCAAAGGUGUGAGCUGUACAACGGAGGCAGAGACCUGUUGCACCAUCCAGACUCCUCUGUGUUUAUUCUUUGUUAUUUUCAUUUAGUGUAUUGUUUUUAUUUUUUUGUUCUGUGCUUGGGCUAAUUGGGGAACUUCCUUUAAGGUGUUUAAUGUGUGCUGUGCUAUGCUGUGCCUAUUGACUUGUACUGUUUAAUCACCCAGCUUGGUGUGUCUCUUGUGGAGCACUCUGACUUGCCUCUUGGUUGGGGAUGUUUCAUCCCUCUCAAGUUCCUUGGAAACCAGCCUAAGCCCUGAGUAGACUUUUCUGGUUUGUUUAAUAAAUCAUAUUAUAUUUUUGUAAA